UAAGGAACGGACUCCCUGGAAUUGGUUCAGCCAGAGAUGGGGACGUUGUUUCCGAAAAGCACCGCGGUUUCUGUGGUGUCUCGUGCUCUCUGAACGGCCCUUUAAACACCAAGGGAGGCUAUUAAUUUGCACUCAAUCGUACCGAUAUCCGCAUUAGGUCUCCAAGGUGAACAGCCUCUAGUCGAUAGAAUAAUGUAGGUAAGGGAAGUCGGCAAACUAGAUCCGUAACUUCGGGAAAAGGAUUGGCUCCAGUGGUCGGAACGGUUGGCCAGUUGGUUGAUGCUUGUCCGGCGCUGUUCUGUCUGCUUGAUGCUUUCGGGCUGAUGGCGGCCUAGUGAUAGUGCUUGCUUGUUGACGCUUUCUGGUGUGUGCUUUGACCUCGGUCUUAGUAUCCUGAUCGUUCAUCUAAACGCUAAACUGGAACCGGUACGGACUCAGGGAAUCCGACUGUCUAAUUAAAACAGAGGUGACAGAUGGUCCUUGCGGACGCUGACUGUCACUGAUUUCUGCCCAGUGCUCUGAAUGUUAAAUCGUAGUAAUUCGAGUAAGCGCGGGUAAACGGCGGGAGUAACUAUGACUCUCUUAAGGUAGCCAAAUGCCUCGUCAUUUAAUUGUUGACGCGCAUGAAUGGAUUAACGAGAUUCCUACUGUCCCUAACUACUAUCUAGCGAAACCACAGCCAAGGGAACGGGCUUGGCAAAAAUAGCGGGGAAAGAAGACCCUGUUGAGCUUGACUCUAGUUUGACAUUGUGAAGAGUCAUGAGAGGUGUAGCAUAGGUGGGAGUCUUCGGACGCCAAUGAAAUACCACCACUUUCAUCGACUCUUUACUUAUUCGGUUAAAAGAGAAUUGGUCGCAAGGCCUCUUUUCGAAGUAUUAAGCGGAUCCAUUUUAUGGAACCGUGACUCUCCCCGAAGACAGUGUCAAGCGGGGAGUUUGACUGGGGCGGUACAUCUAUCAAAUCGUAACGUAGGUGUCCUAAGGCGAGCUCAGAGAGGACGG
rnacentral:ncRNA from 1 species